UACGGAGGGUGCAAGCGUUGUUCGGAAUUAUUGGGCGUAAAGAGCGUGUAGGCGGCCUAGUAAGUCAGAUGUGAAAUCCCUUGGCUUAACCGAGGAAGGGCAUUUGAAACUGCUUGGCUUGAGUACGGGAGGGGGAAGUGGAAUUCCCGGUGUAGAGGUGAAAUUCGUAGAUAUCGGGAGGAACAUCAGUGGCGAAGGCGGCUUCCUGGAUCGAUACUGACGCUGAGACGCGAAAGCGUGGGGAGCAAAC
rnacentral:rRNA from 1 species